rnacentral:rRNA from 1 species
AGAGUUUGAUCCUGGCUCAGAUUGAACGCUGGCGGCAUGCUUUACACAUGCAAGUCGAACGGCAGCGGGGGCUUCGGCCUGCCGGCGAGUGGCGAACGGGUGAGUAAUGCAUCGGAACGUACCCAGUGGUGGGGGAUAGCUCGGCGAAAGCCGGAUUAAUACCGCAUACGCCCUGAGGGGGAAAGUGGGGGAUCUUCGGACCUCACGCCAUUGGAGCGGCCGAUGUCGGAUUAGCUAGUUGGUGAGGUAAAGGCUCACCAAGGCGACGAUCCGUAGCUGGUCUGAGAGGAUGAUCAGCCACACUGGGACUGAGACACGGCCCAGACUCCUACGGGAGGCAGCAGUGGGGAAUUUUGGACAAUGGGCGCAAGCCUGAUCCAGCCAUGCCGCGUGAGUGAAGAAGGCCUUCGGGUUGUAAAGCUCUUUCAGUCGGGAAGAAAAGGCGGGCUCUAACAUAGCCUGUUGCUGACGGUACCGACAGAAGAAGCACCGGCUAACUACGUGCCAGCAGCCGCGGUAAUACGUAGGGUGCGAGCGUUAAUCGGAAUUACUGGGCGUAAAGCGUGCGCAGGCGGUUUGCUAAGACAGGUGUGAAAUCCCCGGGCUUAACCUGGGAACUGCGCUUGUGACUGGCAGGCUAGAGUACGGCAGAGGGGGGUGGAAUUCCACGUGUAGCAGUGAAAUGCGUA